rnacentral:tRNA from 1 species
GGAGGGAUCGCAUAGAGGCCUAGUGCGGGCGCCUGCUAAGCGCUUAACCCGUCAAAAGCGGGUUCAUGGGUGCGAAUCCCAUUCCCUCCGCCA